rnacentral:lncRNA from 1 species
GGUUAGAGAAGAUGUCUGGAUUCUACUGGAAAAUGAAAUAUUGUAGGACUCAGAGUAAAUUCCAACACCUUCUGUCUGCAACUGUAGUGCCAAACUGUCUCCCAGUGUAACAGUCCCUCUGUAUUAUGUGGUUAUUUUGGCGGUUUCUUCAGUCUGUGUUGUCAGUCGCUGGCGUUCAGUGCUGGACUGGCGUGAGGAUGAGGAGUCUGGAGCUGCACUAAGAAACGGUGGCGCAUCACAGUCCUGUGAAAUGCAGUUGAAAGGAGGGGAACACAACUCCCUCAGGUCUUUAUUACUGUAGAUUACCUGGGUAAACUACAUGACCUGUUUCUGAUUCCUCAUCAGCUGCCCAACACUUUCAGAAGAGCUACGUUUUUGCUGGCAGAGCUGCACAAUGUCUGGUCUGUAUGCUUCAGUGCUCCUCUGCAUCGUGAUUCUGAGUCCGGUCUCCAGAACAGGAGCUGAGAGUGAGGAGAAGUCUGUUGGCUCGGAUGAAGGUACACAGUGUAUACUUGUGUAGUUUGUAGUUCUGUGUUAGAACAGUUAGAGUAACAGUUAAAAUCAGUACUUAAAUGCAUGGAUUUGGAAAAUUUAUGGUUUUAAUAGGUUACCGUGAGUGCAUGCUUUUCAUUAUGGAAAUGGCUUCUCAUUUUUGUUAAAUUUUUGCUGACCUACAUGAACAAAGCACUCCAACAAACAUCAAAUGCUGUGAAUCUGCUGCUGUCAGUUGAAUAUUGAUUCCUAAACAAUGGUGCAAUGGUGGUGUUACUUCUAAAAAUGUAGAAUUUGUUACUGUAAUGCACUCUAAAAAAACAUUUUCGUUGUUACUGCUAAAAGUUUUACAUUUUUACUGUGAUACCUCUAAAAUGAGAAAUUUGUUACUGCAUUUAUAACUGUUUAUAACUAUUAUCCACUCUGGAAUUAGAGAUUUUUCUGUUACUGCAGAAAUCACAACGUUUAAAACUGUUUUCCACUCUAAAAUGAGAAAAGUUUUUUUUGUUACUGCAGAAAAGAUAAAAAUUUAGAACUGUUUUCCACUCUGAAAUGAAAUAAAAAAUUGUGUCACUGCA